rnacentral:RNase_P_RNA from 1 species
CGCUGCCAUCGUCAGAUGGGGGAGGAAAGUCCGGACAGGGUAGAGCAUCGCACUGUGGAAAGCACAGAUAGGCGUAAGUUUAUGGGGGGUGUAACAGAAAAUUACCGCCUCUUAUGAGGUAAGGGUGAAAAUGUGGGGUAAGAGCCCACGGCGGGUAAUGGUGACAUUAUCCGGGUAUGCUCCUGCGACCUGCAAGGCCAAAUAUACCGACAUUUAAGGAUUGCUCGUCCGUUGUCGGGGGGUAGGCUGCUUAGAUAAAUGAUAGAGGCCUGGCAACAGGUACAGAACUCGGCUUAUCGUCC